rnacentral:sRNA from 1 species
GUCAACUACCCCGCCCUAAAGGACGGAGCUUGUAAAAGCAAGGUUGACCAAACUCAGUGCCGCUAUGGGCACUACGCUGAUAAGAGGUCGUUAAGACUUACCGUAGAAUGCUUCCUGAGUCCUACGCUCUAACCGGUCAGAAUCACGCUGGGGAAAGGUAAAGCCUCGAAGGUUCUGAUCGUCAUGGAUCACUGUGAGAGCCGCUUAUCAGCCUUGUCGAAGGGAGAUAGCGGGAAACCGC